UCACAUUCUUUGUUUAGACUCGCCGAGACUAACAGCGGAUCACUUCGCUAGAGGCUAAUCGUUGGUCUCGGCAGACAGACAGCAGUCCACCUAUACACGUCCAUGGAAAGAAAGGGGUGGAGAAGGUAUUACACCAGUUAGUUGUCUCCAGUCCGCCCAUGAACCUGUAAGUUAGGCUCAUGACCCUUUGUGCGUUGCGGCACUUUUAUUCCUGGGAGGUUAUAAACCAACAAUCAGGCAUUUCUCGUUCAACGACCUGUCCGACCACACCAAGCCUCUCUCCCACUCUCAAAACCAAAGUUGUACACCGAGCAGAAGACAACUUUCUCUGACUGUUAACCUAUCCGCCAAAAUCUGAGUUGUGCUCUAAUUUCGCCAAGAAAUGUGAGAGGUAGAGUUGCUCGCGGUCCUUACUACCUCGGAGGUAGCGUUAUUUGCGGUCGGUAGCUACGGCCUGUAGAGAGGAGACAGGGUGAUAAGCAAGGGUCGGGGUGUUGGGUGAGCACAGCACGGGUGCCAGGAGUUCACGGCGGUCGUGGCUGGUUGUUGGACACAAACGCAAGUCGCACGGAAAGCGAGAGGGAGACCUGAGUUGGAGUGGGAGACGGGAGUUGUUUACGUAACCACCCUGGCGGGUCGCCACUUUCUGGCUGCGAGGCACAGACAGCGAAAAGGACAACAGCUGCGUCACUUCCAGCCUCAGCUUAUCAGGCGUUUGAGCGCUGGCUGCGUGAUCAAAGGGAGUCAGGUGAAUGUUUUAAUCACACGUGUGGCCAUCUCGCCAUCAGGGGGCACGUGCUGACAGGAAGAUGAUCCGAUAGGAGGAUCUGCCAGCAGGUGAGAGAGAAGUGCAAGGAAUAUACCCGGCGGAGCAAUAUUCACCAACGGAUUCGAUUUCAGAGCCAAGGCCCAGCACUGCGCUCUGCUCGGCGCCGACGUGUUUGGUUACCUCCCCUUAUUUUCAAUUGGUGCUGCACUUGAGUCAUUCUUUCGCUCUAUUCGCAGCCGAGUGCCGUCUCUGCGAGAGGUAGGAAUCCCUGGAGGGUAGACACCCCACGGACUCACUUCAUCGAGACUGUGUUACCCAGUGCUCAACCACAGGGUGUCGUGGUGUCACCUGCUGUGCGAGUGCAUGCCUUCCACUUCCUGAAGACAGAUGGUUAUCGCUCAAAACGUCACGCCUUGUCGUCUCAUGACGUAAGAAACCUGAUCCCCUCGGUGAACGAUCUCCCUUCGAUCCUGUCCUCAACUCGCCAGGCUAACCUUUCCAAGGCCUUGAACUUUCAACCUGUUGUUCGUGCGCAGCGUGCAUGACGUUC